ensembl:lncRNA
ACUUCAACUCGACUGACUGCAAAGCCUCGAAGGGGGCAGUUUGUAGGGCUCUUAGCACCAAUGCCAAAUCCCAAGAAGACAGAGAGAGAGGCCUAGGAGGAUUUAACCUCCUAUCCCCCCUAAGAAAUCUGACGACCAGAUCAUGCUUCCCCACUAACCUCCCCUCUAUGGGGUCGUGAUGUGCCGAAAUAGCAGCAACUUAAACCUAAAGGGUGGAGGGGGAUAGCCUAUGCUUCAACCCUCACUGCAAGAAGAAAUGCAUGGAGGAACACCAUUUGACAAACAAGUUUCACUUCAGCACAUAGGCCUGUCUCGUGGAUGGAGCACACACUGAAGCGAGAGUGAGAGCUACAUCCUGGUGUAGGUCACUUAAAACCUCCACGUCCCAUCCAGAGACCACACAUGGAGUUUCCACAGGUCUGGACGUGGAUGCCAAAGGGUGCCUCGUCUCUGAUAAAGCAGAUCCUUCCACAGAGGAAUCGGCCAGGGAGGGGCUGUCAUGAGGAGCAUGAGUUCCGGGAACCAGGUCCUGUUGGGCCAAUAUUGAGCCACUUACAAGACCUGCUUCUUGUCCUCCCUAAUCUUGCACAGUGUCUGUGCAAGCAGGCUCACUGGGGGGAAUGCAUAUUUGCAUGGGCCCCGGGGCCAGCUGUGUGCCAGCUGGGUGGUUUCUGGAGAUGCAAAUAGGUCUACCUGAGCAACUCUGAACCGUUUCCAGAUCAGCUGAAAAGCCUGGGGGUGGAGUCUACACUCUCCCAGAAGUGCUGCUUGAGACAGUUCAUUGGCUGCCCGAUUGAACACUUCCGGGAUGUGGAUGGCACAAAGGGACUUCAGAUGUUUCUGACUCCACAGGAGGAGGGUGGCGGCUGAGUUGUGACAUGCGACGGGAGCGCAAACCGCCUUGCCAGUUGAAAUACACAACAGUCUCAGUGUUGUCUGUGCACUCUAGAACAUCAAUGCCCUGAAGGCACCAUCUGAGGCAACUCAGGGCAAGGCGUACUGCUAGCAACUUGAGGCAAUUGAUAUGCCAAUGCAGUUGGGGACCUGUCCAAACCUGAGACUGCAUGCCUGUUGUACGUGGCCCCUCAGCCAGUAGCCAAUGCAUCCAGAAACGACCGAUCUGACUCCAGCCAUAUGCCCCAGGAGCCUCUGAAAAAAUUUCAGUGGGACUGCCUUCCUGCCUGAUAAAGUCUUGAGGCAGUUCAGCACACACUGAUCACAUUCCUGGGUGAGGCGUGCUGUCUGGCUGACUGAAUCCAAUUCCAUGCUGAGAAAAGAGAUCCUCUGUGUUGGCAUGAGUUUGGUCUUUUCACAGUUGACCUGAAGACCCAACUGGUUGAGGUGCCCGAACGGCAGGACCUUGCACUGACAUGCCCGACCCUUGAACUUAAACCGCAGGAAUGGGCUGUGCCACGGGAGGAUCUAGACAUGAAAGUAC